rnacentral:rRNA from 1 species
GACGAACGCUGGCGGCGUGCUUAACACAUGCAAGUCGAACGGAAAGGCCUGCUUUCCCUUGUGGUUUGCGGGUACUCGAGUGGCGAACGGGUGAGUAACACGUGAGUGAUCUGCCCCCAACUUGGGUAUAAGCCUGGGAAACUGGGUCUAAUUCCCGAUAGGACUGCAGGGUAGUGCCUGUGGUGGAAGACGAUUUUCUAGUGGUUGGGGAUGAGCUGGCGGCCUAUCAGCUUGUUGGUGGGGUAAUGGCCUACCAAGGCGGCGACGGGUAGCCGGCCUGAGAGCGUGGACGGCCACAUUGGGACUGGGAUACGGCCCAGACGCGUACGAGAGGCAGCAGUGGGGAAGAAUGCACAAUGGGCGGAAGCCUGAUGCAGCGACUCCGCGUGGAAGAUGACGGCCUUCGGGUUGUAAACUCCUUUCGACCGCGAGGAAGCCACCUGGUUGGAAGGGUGGUGACGGUAGUGGUAGAAGAAGCACCGGCUAACUACGUG